rnacentral:rRNA from 1 species
UAACAAGGAUUCCCCUAGUAACUGCGAGUGAAGAGGGAAAAGCUCAAAUUUAAAAUCUGGCGGGCUCUGUCCGUCCGAGUUGUAAUCUGGAGAAGCGUUUUCCGCGUCGGACCGUGCACAAGUCUCCUGGAACGGAGCGUCAUAGAGGGUGAGAAUCCCGUCCAUGGCACGGACCGCCGAUGCUCUGUGAUACGUUUUCAAAGAGUCGAGUUGUUUGGGAAUGCAGCUCAAAACGGGUGGUAAAUUCCAUCUAAAGCUAAAUAUUGGCGAGAGACCGAUAGCGAACAAGUACCGUGAGGGAAAGAUGAAAAGCACUUUGGAAAGAGAGUUAAACAGUACGUGAAAUUGUUGAAAGGGAAACGCUUGAAGUCAGUCGCGUCCGACGGAACUCAGCCUUGCUUCGGCCUGGUGUACUUUCUGUCGGACGGGUCAACAUCAGUUUUGGCCGGUGGAAAAAGGUGGGGGGAAUGUAGCGCCGUUUCGGCGGCGUGUUAUAGCCCCUCGCUGCAUGCACCGGCUGGGACUGAGGACCGCAGCACGCCUUUUUGGCCGGGGGCUCGCGCCCUACGUACCGUGCUUAGGAUGUUGGCAUAAUGGCUUUAAGCGAC